rnacentral:rRNA from 1 species
GUCUUGACCAAAUUACGUGCCAGCAGUCGCGGUAACACGUAGAAGACUAGUGUUAUUCAUCUUUAUUAGGUUUAAAGGGUACCUAGACGGGAAAUCAAGCCAUAAUAGGGACUAAUUUUCUAGAGUUUUAUGUGAGAAGGGGCGAAUUUCUGGAGGAAAGUUGAUAUUUUGUGAUACCGGAAGGACGGGUAACGGCGAAGGCAACCUUCUAUGUAAAAACUGACGUUGAGGGACGAAGCCUUGGGUAACGAGAAGGAUUAGAUACCCUAGUAGUCCUUGGAGACAAUUAUGAAUGCCAUAGGUUAGAUAAAUUUUGGCCUAUAAAUGAAAGUGCAAGCAUUCCACCUCAUGAGUAAAGCGGCAACGCCCAAAUUGAAAUCAUUAGACCGUUUCUGAAACCAGUAGUGAAGUAUGUUAUUUAAUUCGAUGACCCGCGAAUAACCUUACCACGCAUUGAAUAUUAUUCAAUUAUUACAAGCGCUGCACGGCUGUCUUCAGUUAAUGUCGUGAGAUUUUGGUUCGUUCCAUAAAUUAACGAAAACCCUUGCUUUAUUUGUUUUUAUAAAGUAGUUCUCCGUUAUAUUGGAUAAGUUAAAAGGGACUAAGACAAGUCAUCAUG